rnacentral:rRNA from 1 species
CCUACGGGAGGCAGCAGUGGGGAAUAUUGCACAAUGGGGGAAACCCUGAUGCAGCAACGCCGCGUGAAGGAAGACGGUUUUCGGCUCGUAAACUUCUGUUCUCAGUGAAGAAUAAUGACGGUAGCUAAGGAGCAAGCCACGGCUAACUACGUGCCAGCACCCGCGGAAAUACGUAGGUGGCAAGCGUUGUCCGGAAUUAUUGGUGGUAAAGGGAGCGCAGGAGGGAAGCCAAGUCAGUUGUGAAAACUACGGCCUUAACUUGUAGACUGCAGUUGAAACUGGUUGUCUUGAGUGAAGUAGGGGUUGGCGGAAUUCCGGGUGUAGCGGUGAAAUGCGUAGAUAUUAGGAGGAACACCGGUGGCGAAGGCGGCCAACUGGGCUUUAACUGACGCUGAGGCUCGAAAGUGUGGGGAGCAAACAGGAUUAGAUACCCUUGUAGUC